UUGAAUAACCCAGAGUCCAGUUUUCGUAUUGAAUGGCGAAUUGAAUACUGGUUUUGCAAUUAUGGGGUUUAAUGUACUCAAACAACCGUUUACUUCCGUUUCUCUCACCGCAUAAAAUCCACAUAUAAAAUUCAGAUUGAUCGACACCAUCAACACUGCCGCUCUUCCCAAUGAAAUCAACCACAAAGGUCCGCUCUUCUCUUCUACUCCUACACACUGAUCGAAUAACGAGGAUUCCAUUUUCUGGUGCCGGUUUCGUCAUUACAAGAGUGGUAGGGUUGUUUUCGGAGAGUACAACCGUUACUCCGAUUGUUUGGUUGUGAUAGAAAAGAUGCAAGGGCAAGAUGCACCAUGGAGGGCAGCUUCUUCAACUGCCACCAAACCCCUCCCCAAAAUCCACCUUUCCCCUCUUUUAUCUCUCCCUCAAAACCCCCACACAGAUUAUGCUCUCUCUCUCAUCAAGCACCCGGAUCCGAUUGCAUAUGGGUUAGGGACGGAAGCUAUAGUGGAAGCAGCAGGGCCAGAGUGUGUUGUUCCUGGACAGAAUACACCAGUAAAACUUCUUGGACUAAAGGUCUGGCCUGUUGAUAUUGCCUUGAAGUUUUUGGAACCUGUUGGCAAAGAACUCAAAAAUAUUCCACAGUUGCAGCAGAAAUCUCAAAGGUUCUUUUAGCUUUGCCCUCUGACCUUCUUGUAAGUUCCAUGUGAUGAAUACUCAGUUGCAUCACCUAUUUUGUUAUUACUCAGGAUUGUUGGUUGAUUGGAUAGAGUUUUAGGAUGUUUAUUUACUUUAUUAACUUGAACUUUAACACCCAUUUGUUGACUGUAACACAAGAAGUGUGUUUAAUUGAGAAAUAUAAACUGCUUAGAUUUUGAUUAUAUAGAUUGAGAUUAUGUUCAUCAGCACCUUGUGUUCAAUCGCACAUUGACAAUUCUUUUAGUAGUGCAAAACAUUAACUUAUUAAGAUCCACUUGUGUAGUUGUGUGUAGCAACUAACAUGUGUUAUGAGUAUUUGGUACAUUUUAAUACCUUAUUAAGGUAUUUUGAGGUUAUGAUAGCCGCUCUUCACUUCUGCUCCUACACACUGAUCGAAUAAUGGGGAUUCCAUUUUCCGGUGCCGGUUUUGUCAUUACAAGAGUGGUAGGGUUGUUUUCGUAGAGUACAAUCGUUACUCCGAUUGUUUGGUUGUGAUAGAAAAGAUGCAAGGGCGGACUAGAGUUCAGGAUAGGCGACGAAGCUUGGUGUUUGUGGUCCGAUCGGAGGUAAUAUAUGUCAAGAGUUGGUGAAUCACCCACUGACUUUUUUACUUUUCAAAUUGCAGGGAUAAAAUUCCUCUAUUGAUAUAAAAUAAAAUUCCUCUAUUGAUUCUCCAUACAAGAGGGGCGAUUGGGAGCAAUGGCUGCAUCCGACGAAGCUGACAGGAAUUUGAGGAGUGGAUGAAAAAGCGCAACAAAGUAUACAAAAGUGCCAAGAAGGAGAUUAGAUUCGAGACGUUCAAAAUUAAUCUCCAGGAGGGGCGAUUUGGACCAAUGGCUGCAUCUGCGAAAUCUGACGAGGAGCGUUUUGAUGACUACAUCAAACAGUAUAAGAAAGAAUACAAAACCGAAGAUGAGAAGAAGAAUAGAUUCAAGUCGGUCCAAAUAAAUCUCCGUGAUAUAGAUGCUUAUGAAGCUUUUGUUGCAGAUGAAUCCCCAGUAUUUCAUGCCGAGGGAUUGAACCAAUAUACAGACUUGAUUGAUGAUGAGUACUUAAGAGAUAUCCUCGGAAGGGAUGAGAUCCCCCCACAUUUUAGUUGGAGUGACAGUGACAAUGACGGUGAGUUGGUCAAGUACGGGUACGGGUACGGGUACGUGAGAGAUGGCGAGGGCGAGGGCGUGGCCGAGGGUGAGGACUUUGGGCCGAGGGCAAGGUCAAGGAUAACUCGAGUUCGAGUCCAAGGUUGAUGUUUCUGUCAAACAUUAAAGUAGAGGCUGUAAGUAAUUUUACCAAUACAAGGCAACUAUAUCCCAUUAAGUGUGAGUUACUAACUAGAAAUUAGACAAUAUUGUUAAAACUUUGUUUUUCCCUAUUUGAAAGUUAAUGUGGCAGUAUCUAUUAGCCAAGUUAUAAACAAA